UAUAAUGGGGAUUUUUUUUCAUAUAAAUACUGCACCUAAACUGAGUGAGUUAGUUAGCAACAAUUUCUUUUCUGAAGUGUUUUUAAAUUAAAAAAUUCGAAAUGAAGACGAUAUUCUUAGUUUUUUUCACCGUACUAAUUGGUUUCGUAAUAAUCGAAAGCAAGAUUGAUCCUCCAAGAUUCCGUUAUAUGCUAACCAAUAACUGUAGACUUAGAAAUGCUCCGUGUCAGAUUAAUCCUAAUACGUCUGAACAUAAUUGCUGUUCGGCGUAUGGUUAUAAAUGUAUGAAAGCUCCAGGAACGUCGCUCCAUUUAACGUGCCAGCGAGAAACGAUGUCUAUGCCUAAUAUAGGAUAGAAAAAAAUUAUUCAUUUAUAAAUUUAACUGUACAAAGUUAUGAUUUGUCAAGCUAAAAUAAAGCCAAGUUAAAUAAAUUUAAGC